AAGUCUGAAUUCUCCGCUGAAGUUCUACUUUCUCUUCUAGGACUAAAGUCAUGCUUUCCCAGAUGACACCAGGAAGGCAGAGGUAUCCACACUGCUGCUGUUCCCAGCUGCCUUUCGGCACAGCUCAUCCUCGUGCGAAGCUGAUGGCUUCAUGUUACCAAAUGCAGCCAUGCGUGCAACCCUGAGUGGAAAAGACCACAGCUCGACUCCCCGUGGUAGGGCCCCUCCCCUGGAGAGCAUGAGCUCACUCGGGGCCUCUCGAAAUCCUCGGGCACGCCUGUCUGCCUGCAGUGUGAGUGAGCUGUGCACCAGCAGGUGUGAAAAACGUUCCAGAAGUCCAGCUGCUGGCUUGCUACAGCUACUUGCCCUGUGCACCCCUGUCGUGGACUCUGAAGCUUUACCACCCUCAUCCUGAGCUCCAUCGCAUCACUGGCCUGCCCCACCGUGGGCACCAGUUCCUAGAGCACUUCGAC
rnacentral:lncRNA from 1 species